rnacentral:misc_RNA from 1 species
GAUGAAGAACGCAGCGAAAUGCGAUAAGUAAUGUGAAUUGCAGAAUUCAGUGAAUCAUCGAAUCUUUGAACGCACCUUGCACCCUUUGGACUGCUCCAAAGGGUAUGCUCGUUUGAGUGUCAUUGUACUCUCACACUCUCUGAUCCUUUGGAUUUGGGGAGCAGUGGACUUGGGUGCUUGCUGCUUCCUUGUGGCUCACCUGAAAUGCAUCAGUGCAUCUCUCGAUUGGACAUAGUACGGCGUGAUAAGUGUCUUCGCCGGCACCUCAUAUGAGGGUGGCCGAUCGGGAGCUCUGUGCUUCAAACCGUCUUCGGACAAUCUUUGACAACUUGACCUCAAAUCGAGUAGGACUACCCGCUGAACUUAAGCAUAUCAAUAAGCGGAGGA